UACAGAGGUCUCAACCGUUGUUCGGAUUCAUUGGGCGUAAAGCGUGCGCAGGCGGUUUGCUAAGAGAGAUGUGAAAUCCCCGGGCUUAACCUGGGAACUGCGUUUCUAACUGGCAGGCUUGAGUGUGGCAGAGGGGGGUGGAAUUCCACGUGUAGCAGUGAAAUGCGUAGAGAUGUGGAGGAACACCGAUGGCGAAGGCAGCCCCCUGGGCUAACACUGACGCUCAUGCACGAAAGCGUGGGGAGCAAACAGG
rnacentral:rRNA from 1 species